GGAUAAGUCGCCUAUUGGUAAGGGCAAACUGAUUGCUAUUCAGUGUACGGUAAUUCGUACUGUAGGUUCGAAUCCUAUCUUGUCUG
rnacentral:tRNA from 5 species